rnacentral:rRNA from 1 species
UACGUAGGCAGCAAGCGUUGUUCGGAGUUACUGGGCGUAAAGGGUGUGUAGGCGGUUGUUUAAGUUUGGUGUGAAAUCUCCCGGCUCAACUGGGAGGGUGCGCCGAAUACUGAAUGACUAGAGUGCGGGAGAGGAAAGUGGAAUUCCUGGUGUAGCGGUGAAAUGCGUAGAUAUCAGGAGGAACACCGGUGGUGUAGACGGCUUUCUGGACCGUAACUGACGCUCAUGCACGACAGCGUGGGGAUCAAACAGG